UACGGGGGGGGCAAGCGUUGUUCGGAAUUACUGGGCGUAAAGGGCUCGUAGGCGGCCAACUAAGUCGGAUGUGAAAUCCCCAGGCUUAACCUGGGAACUGCAUCCGAUACUGGAUGGCUUGAAUUCGGGAGAGGGAUGCAGAAUUCCAGGUGUAGCGGUGAAAUGCGUAGAUAUCUGGAGGAAUACCGGUGGCGAAGGCGGCAUCCUGGACCGGCAUUGGCGCUGAGGAGCGAAAGCCAGGGGAGCAAACGGG
rnacentral:rRNA from 1 species